AAAGUCGUAACAAGGUUUCCGUAGGUGAACCUGCGGAAGGAUCAUUAAUGAAACUUCAAAGUCGGCCGACUGUGCUGGUGACCCUGUUGCAGGUGCACAUCGGUCGCAAUAUCCACACACACCUGUGCACCUCUGACCUUGAAGCUCGCUCGCUCAUCGAGCAGCCGACUGCCCUCGUUGGUGGUCCGAGUUUUGGGGUAUUUACACACACGAAUGUAAUGGAAUGUCCAUCGUGCUUAACUGCACAUCUAAUACAACUUUCAACAACGGAUCUCUUGGCUCUC
rnacentral:misc_RNA from 1 species